AACGUAGGUUCCGAGCGUUAUCCGGAUUUACUGGGCGUAAAGCGCGUUCAGGCGGUUUGGCAAGUCGGGCAUGAAAUCUCUCGGCUCAACCGGGAGAGGUUGUCCGAUACUGCUGGACUUGAGGGCAGUAGAGGGUGGUGGAAUUCCGGGUGUAGUGGUGAAAUGCGUAGAUAUCCGGAGGAACACCAGUGGCGAAAGCGGCCACCUGGACUGCAACUGACGCUGACACGCGAAAGCUAGGGGAGCGAACGGG
rnacentral:rRNA from 1 species